rnacentral:lncRNA from 1 species
GGGGAAGCCAGAGGGGACAAACCUUCACGUCCCAUUUACCGCAUCCCCCAAAAGCAACAAAACCGGCUAAUAUUUCUGGGGCUCUAGGAAUCCCAAUUUGUAAUCACUGACUCGCACGCUCUGGAGAGGUGGCUGGAGCCCCUAAUCUGGCUUCGAAGCCUUGGGCCAGCCUUAACCUCAACCUGGCCCGAGGCUCCUUACCUGACAGCGGAGCCCCGCGCACAGCUAAGUAGCCCAACGCGGGGAUUCUCUCCUGGCUCAUUAACGUGAGGCCUCCACCGGAUCCCCUAACCCAAAGCGAUCUCCAUAAGCCCCACCCCGUCCACGUCAGUCCCACCCACCUCUGAGAUCUUGACCUGCUCCAGUGGCCCUCCCAACCCCUGCCCCAUCCUGAGCGCAUGCCGUGCUGGAUGCAGUGACCCUGCCCCUGAGCCCUCCCUCAGAAGUAGACCUGCUCCCGCCCUCCAAGUCCCACCCCUCUGAAAACAUUUCAGUGGCCCAGGCCCCAGUUCUUGGCCUUGUUUCCAUUCCUUUCAUAAUCUCAGCCCAGUAUGCCCGCCCCAGGUUCAUCUAGACAAGGUCCCAGUUCCUCAGCACCACUCGCCCUCCCUUUUUCUCUUCAACACCAUAUCCUGUGUUUUUCUUUUUGUUUUAGACAGAGUCUCACUGUCGCCCAGGCUGGAGAGCAGUGUUGUGAUCAUGGCUCAAUGCAGCCUCAACCUCCUGGGCUCAAGCAAUCCUCCCACCUGAGCCUCCCAAGUAGCUGGGACUACAGAUGCGCACCACCACACCAAGAUAAUUUUUUUCUUUUUAAGAGACGAGGUCUCGCCAUUUUGGCUAGGCUGGUCUCGAACUCUUGACCUCAAGUGAUCCUCCCGCCUCGGCCUCCCAAAGUGCUGGGAUUACAGGCGUGAGCCACCCGGGACAGGCCUAACUCUUAACACAUUCCUCAACCCAUCUCUCUAAAGACCCGUCCCAGUCGUUAGGUUCGCUCAUCCCUGACCUCACCCCAGAAUACCUUAAGACUGCCUGCUCCAUCUCUGAAGCCCACCUGCAGCCUAGCCAUGGCCCUUCCCUAGUGGGUAAGAUCUGCUCCAACCCGAACCAGCCUACUAGAACUCUAGUCAACAAACCAUGCCCAAACUCUCACUAGGCCCCUUCACCAUCCAGGCCUCUUCUCAACACUUCCUCCCUAGCCUCUCCAGGAUCCCAUACUUGACUACCCAGCACCCCCUCUUUCCUUCCAGACCCACACUCUCUCUCCAGGCCUCUCCUCGCCCUCUAGACCACGCCCCCGUCACAAGCCCUGCCCUCACCAUAGGUCCCGCCCCAGCUCUAAGCUCGGCCCGUCCUCCUGGCCCUGCCCCAUUGCCAGGCCCUGCCCUCACACUCAAAGCCUCCUCCCAUCUUCCUAGUCCCGCCCCAAUUCCCUGACCAAUCUCUCCCCAGACCCCGCCUUCACCCCUCAGGCCCUUCCCGCGCCCUGCUCGAUCUGCCCCGCCCUAGGCUCCGCCCCCAUUCCAUCCUUGGACUUUCUCCAGGCCUCCUCUUGCCGCGCCACAGACUUGGCCUCCCUCAGGCCCCGAUCCAGACUCUGUCCCGAUCCUAGGCCCGGUCUCCUUCCAGGCCCCGCCCCCGCUCUAGGCUCAGCCUGCCUUCAAACCCUGCUGUAGACCCCGCCCCACCCUAAGCUCAGCCUUCGUCUAGGCCCCGCCCCAGGCCCUGCACCUCUAGGCUCGACCUCCCUCCAGGCCCCGCCCUGGGCUCCGCCCCCCAGCCCGCCCUCUCCCUGGGCCCCGCCCCACUCUAGACUGGGGCUCCCCUUAGGUCCCGCCCCAAUUCAGCUUGCCCUCCCUCCAGGCCCCGCAUCACUCCAGCUCGGCCUCCCUUCAGGCCAC